AGCCACCUUUAAGCCCUUGGAGUUCUGUUUACUUUAAUGGAAAUCACUUUUCCAAGGCUCCUUGCUGGUUCUGAAAAAUCAGGUUAAAGGUCAUCCUGUGACUCCAAGAAUAAUAAAUUUGCAAUUUGUACUUUUCUGACCUCUAGAAAUAUUUUUAGGUUUUUGAGGCCAAAGAAAACAAAGCAGUGCUUUGAAAGGACUGGGGAGCUAUCAAUUGAUCAAUUUAAGUGGGAUUAGCUGAUAAUUGGGUAAAUACAUUGUUAUUGAUGUCCAGAAGGAAGAAGAUGUGCCAAGAAAACACUAAUGCCUAGGCCUAGAUUUAUCUGCUAAUCCUUGAAGGAGGCAGUUUACUGAGGACAUGAGUAAUUGCUCUGUUAACAGAUUUAUUCUUCCUUUAAGCCCCAUAUUUGGGGCUUAAAUCCUCCCCUCUUUCCAGCCAUUCAAAAUGUGACCUGAGUCCCACUGCCCAAUGUUACACUUUGCAGCUCUUCCUAGUCAUGUUCAUACUCCGAUUUCUUUGAUUUGACAUGCAGUACCCUAGCAAAAGACUGGCGCUCCAGCCACAAGUGCUUUAUGUUGAGAGAGGAAGAACAUAAUCAAUUAUGUUCCUCCAUUCUAUCUCUACUUUCUGCCACAGAGAUGAUAAAUUUCAAUCAUCCUGAGUCCUUGAGUGGCUACAUGGAUCAGGCCACCACUGAACACAUAGGGCGAGUACAUGUCAAACCAUCAUGGACAUAUAGAGUAAGUAAGAAACAAAUCUUUGUUACAUUAAGCCACUGAGAUUUUGCAUUGCAUUUGAUAUAGUUUAUCACAACAUUAGUAGUUACUACCUGUGAUAAUAUGUAUCCCACAAAAUAUGCUUGGUAAAAAAUAAAUCUCAAUAUAAAAAGUACA
rnacentral:lncRNA from 12 species